UGGGGAAUUUUGGACAAUGGGGGAAACCCUGUUCCAGCCAUCCCGCGUGUGCGAUGAAGGCCUUCGGGUUGUAAAGCACUUUUGGCAGGAAAGAAACGUCAUGGGUUAAUACCCCGUGAAACUGACGGUACCUGCAGAAUAAGCACCGGCUAACUACGUGCCAGCAGCCGCGGUAAUACGUAGGGUGCAAGCGUUAAUCGGCAUUACUGGGCGUAAAGCGUGCGCAGGCGGUUCGGAAAGAAAGAUGUGAAAUCCCAGAGCUCAACUUUGGAACUGCAUUUUUAACUACCGGGCUAGAGUGUGUCAGAGGGAGGUGGAAUUCCGCGUGUAGCAGUGAAAUGCGUAGAUAUGCGGAGGAACACCGAUGGCGAAGGCAGCCUCCUGGGAUAACACUGACGCUCAUGCACGAAAGCGUGGGGAGCAAACAGG
rnacentral:rRNA from 1 species